CUACCGGUUCUUUUAAGAACCAACAAAAUUUUAUUAUUAACAAUU
rfam:Parastrongyloides trichosuri strain KNP genome assembly, scaffold: PTRK_scaffold0000018